rnacentral:misc_RNA from 1 species
AGGACAUAACGUAUGGAUGCCUUGCCUUAAAGCUGCACGUUGCUCGCAGCAAGAGGGACACGGCAGGGAGAGACCCGCGCCGCGCCCCACUUGGAGCUUCCGCCCAAGCACAAGGCUCAGCGAUCGGCGCACGAGCCAGGAGCUUGAAAACGAACUCGAGAGCCUACGCCUUAUGAGCCUCCCGUCCUCUAGCAGCCAGAGGCAAUCGGGCUUUAGCCGCAAUUAGCGAGCG